rnacentral:rRNA from 1 species
AUUGAACGCUGGCGGCAGGCCUAACACAUGCAAGUCGAACGGUAACAGGAAGCAGCUUGCUGCUUUGCUGACGAGUGGCGGACGGGUGAGUAAUGUCUGGGAAACUGCCUGAUGGAGGGGGAUAACUACUGGAAACGGUAGCUAAUACCGCAUAACGUCGCAAGACCAAAGAGGGGGACCUUCGGGCCUCUUGCCAUCGGAUGUGCCCAGAUGGGAUUAGCUAGUAGGUGGGGUAACGGCUCACCUAGGCGACGAUCCCUAGCUGGUCUGAGAGGAUGACCGGCCACCCUGAACUGAGACACGGUCCAGACUCCUACGGGAGGCAGCAGUGGGGAAUAUUGCACAAUGGGCGCAAGCCUGAUGCAGCCAUGCCGCGUGUAUGAAGAAGGCCUUCGGGUUGUAAAGUACUUUCAGCGGGGAGGAAGGGAGUAAAGUUAAUACCUUUGCUCAUUGACGUUACCCGCAGAAGAAGCACCGGCUAACUCCGUG